UACAGAGGGGGCAAGCGUUGUUCGGAAUUACUGGGCGUAAAGGGCGCGUAGGCGGCCUUCUAAGUCGAACGUGAAAUCCCCGGGCUCCAACCCGGGAACCUGCGUCCGAUACUGGAAGGCUUGAAUCCGGGAGAGGGAUGCGGAAUUCCAGGUGUAGCGGUGAAAUGCGUAGAUAUCUGGAGGAAUACCGGUGGCGAAGGCGGCAUCCUGGACCGGCAUUGACGCUGAGGAGCGAAAGCCAGGGGAGCAAAGCGGG
rnacentral:rRNA from 1 species